CAGGAAGCCGGUGCGAAUCCGGCGCGGUCCCGCCACUGUGACCGCCUCCCCCGGGAGGCGGCAGCCAGGAACUG
rnacentral:ncRNA from 2 species